rnacentral:rRNA from 2 species
GGUUAAGUGAAUAAGGGCGCACGGUGGAUGCCUUGGCACUAGGAGCCGAUGAAGGACGGGACUAACACCGAUAUGCUUUGGGGAGCUGUAAGUAAGCUAUGAUCCAGAGAUUUCCGAAUGGGGGAACCCAAUAUCUUUUAUAGGAUAUUACUUUUCAGUGAAUACAUAGCUGAUUAGAGGUAGACGCAGAGAACUGAAACAUCUUAGUACCUGCAGGAAGAGAAAGAAAAUUCGAUUCCCUGAGUAGCGGCGAGCGAAACGGGAAGAGCCCAAACCAACAAGCUUGCUUGUUGGGGUUGUAGGACUCCGAUAUGGUAGUCUGUUAGUAUAGUUGAAGGAUUUGGAAAAUUCCGCUAAAGAGGGUGAAAGCCCCGUAGACGAAAUGCUGACAACACCUAGGAGGAUCCUGAGUACGGCGGAACACGAGAAAUUCCGUCGGAAUCCGCGGGGACCAUCCCGCAAGGCUAAAUACUCCCUAGUGACCGAUAGUGAACCAGUACCGUGAGGGAAAGGUGAAAAGCACCCCGGAAGGGGAGUGAAAUAGAUCCUGAAACCGUGUGCCUACAACAAGUCAAAGCUCGUUAAUGAGUGAUGGCGUGCCUUUUGUAGAAUGAACCGGCGAGUUACGAUUGCAUGCGAGGUUAAGUCGAAGAGACGGAGCCGCAGCGAAAGCGAGUCUGAAUAGGGCGAAUGAGUAUGUAGUCGUAGACCCGAAACCAUGUGAUCUACCCAUGUCCAGGUUGAAGGUGCGGUAAAACGCACUGGAGGACCGAACCCACGUACGUUGAAAAGUGCGGGGAUGAGGUGUGGGUAGCGGAGAAAUUCCAAACGAACUUGGAGAUAGCUGGUUCUCUCCGAAAUAGCUUUAGGGCUAGCCUCGGAAUUGAGAAUGAUGGAGGUAGAGCACUGUUUGGACUAGGGGCCCAUCUCGGGUUACCGAAUUCAGAUAAACUCCGAAUGCCAUUCAUUUAUAUCCGGGAGUCAGACUGCGAGUGAUAAGAUCCGUAGUCGAAAGGGAAACAGCCCAGACCACCAGCUAAGGUCCCAAAAUAUAUGUUAAGUGGAAAAGGAUGUGGGGUUGCACAGACAACUAGGAUGUUGGCUUAGAAGCAGCCACCAUUUAAAGAGUGCGUAAUAGCUCACUAGUCGAGUGACCCUGCGCCGAAAAUGUACCGGGGCUAAACAUAUUACCGAAGCUGUGGACUACACCAUUAGGUGUAGUGGUAGGAGAGCGUUCUAAGGGCGUUGAAGGUCGAUCGUGAGGACGGCUGGAGCGCUUAGAAGUGAGAAUGCCGGUAUGAGUAGCGAAAGACAGGUGAGAAUCCUGUCCACCGUAUGACUAAGGUUUCCUGGGGAAGGCUCGUCCGCCCAGGGUUAGUCGGGACCUAAGCCGAGGCCGAUAGGCGUAGGCGAUGGACAACAGGUUGAUAUUCCUGUACCAGUUGUUUUUGUUUGAGCAAUGGAGGGACGCAGUAGGCUAAGGAAUGCAUGCGAUUGGAAGUGCAUGUCCAAGCAAUGAGUCUUGAGUAGAGUUAAAUGCUUUACUCUCUAAGGACAAGUUGUGACGGGGAGCGAAAUAAUAGUAGCGAAGUUCCUGAUGUCACACUGCCAAGAAAAGCUUCUAGUGAGAAAACAACUGCCCGUACCGUAAACCGACACAGGUAGUCGAGGAGAGUAUCCUAAGGUGAGCGAGCGAACUCUCGUUAAGGAACUCGGCAAAAUGACCCCGUAACUUCGGGAGAAGGGGUGCUGACUUCGGUCAGCCGCAGUGAAUAGGCCCAAGCGACUGUUUAUCAAAAACACAGGUCUCUGCAAAAUCGUAAGAUGAAGUAUAGGGGCUGACGCCUGCCCGGUGCUGGAAGGUUAAGAGGAUGGGUUAGCUUCGGCGAAGCUCAGAAUUGAAGCCCCAGUAAACGGCGGCCGUAACUAUAACGGUCCUAAGGUAGCGAAAUUCCUUGUCGGGUAAGUUCCGACCCGCACGAAAGGCGUAACGAUUUGG